UCUAACUCCAUGCAAGAGGCCGGGGUAGUACGGAGGGUGCAAGCGGUAAUGGGAAUUACUGGGCGGAAAGCGUGGGCAUGCGGCUUAUUAAGUCAGAUGUGAAAUCCCGAGGCUCAACCUAGGAACUGCAUUUGAAACUAAUAAACUAGAGUAUCGUAGAGGGAGGUAGAAUUCCAGGUGUAGCGGUGAAAUGCGUAGAUAUCUGGAGGAAUACCAGUGGCGAAGGCGACCUCCUGGACGAAAACUGACGCUCAAGCACGAAAGCAUGGGGAGCAAACAGGAUUAGAUACCCGUGUAGUC
rnacentral:rRNA from 1 species